CGCCUGCGCAAUCUGCACGCACGCCUGCGCACUGCGCCUCUGAAGCCGCUGCCUCUGCCCUCACUUCAACGGCUGCCAGUUCCUGGGCGCUGCGGGGUCGUGGGUGGGGGAUACCACGCUGGCUCGAUGACUUUCCUGGUGUUACCUAACACAUUCCAGUGUAGUUAUGAAGGGCACCUUUGACCCUCUGACGGGCUCACUAAACUCCUGAGGAAACUGACCAAACUUGAGAUCAUCCUGCCUCAGCCUCCUGAGUAGCUGAGAUUACAGAUAAUUACCAGAAACACUAAGUGGAGAGAGCAUUUCUGCAUGCCUGCUUAAAAGAAGAAGAUAAAGAAGAAAUAAAGAAUAAGGAUUGUGCUUGAAAAGAAAAAGCAAAAGAAAAUAAAAAUGUGACCCACUCAAUAUCAAAGAGGGCAAGUCACUUGACCUUAGUUUCCUCAUCUGAAAACACAAGAGCCUGGGAGUUGUGCUUGAUUACGUGACUAAUAUCCAGCCACAGGAAUUGAAUGAAGAAUGGAAUUUCAUUUUUGGCUUCAUCACUAUUGCGGCAAUGACAGAUGGGGAUCACAUGAAUUAGAUAGGGUCUGCCUAAAUUGCCCAGGCUUGUCUCAAACAUGCAAUCCUCCUGCCUCAACCUCCCAGUAGCUGGGAUUACAGGAAUGCUCCACCAUGACUGCCCAACUCUUUUGACACCUCGUAAAGGAUCAGCUAAUUGUGGGGUUUUGUGGUAAGUUUAUGCAAUACUUAAUAUGUGGAGUGAUAUCUUUAAUAAAAGAUGUAUGAAGGAAAGAAUGUGGCAACUAAAAGGAACUCCCUCUCGUAACCCCUCUUUAUCUCCUGGUAUUGACUUUUAUUAACAUUACACUGGUAAAAUGGGUAACAAAACCUUUGUAUCUCUUCCUUUUAAAUUUGAAAUUCCAAGGAUACCCAAUCUAUAUGCCCAACUUAGGUAAGAUAUCUACCUUUUGGGUAUUCAGGUUUAGAGUAGAAAGUUCAGAGUCGAUAUGGCCAUUAAGUACCCACUUUUUCUUAUUAACAUGCCAUUCCCAGAUAAGGAGAAAAUUACUAUGAAUCAAGAAAUCUCCCCACAUUGGUGAGUUCCAAAGGCAUAUUACUAAGUGGUAGCAAUCCUUUCUCAUAUAGGCAAAAGAUAACAAACUCACUUUCUUCAUUUUAUGCUUGAAAGAGCAUUCUCUACCAUAUAUUACCAGUCAAACACUUUUUUGUCUUAACCUCUUACCCUUCAUGAAGAAAAUCAGAGUUUGGAAACGCAGAGUUGGAACGUUAUGUGUUUUGAAAAUUCCUUCCUUUGAAUAACUUUCGGGGAGGAUUUCACUACCAACAUAACCACUUUCUUUUACCAACCUCCCUUAGCAUCUACCUUUUGUGAAAUUUGAACUUCUUAAAAAUAACAAAAACAAGCAGUUUAAGCUUAUUUAGUGUUAGGAAAGUCAGAAGGAAAGAGAAUUUCAAGGAUGGGUAGUCAAACCUGUUAAAAUCAUGCACAGGGGAUGAAGUAGAAAAAAAGGCCAUUGUAUCUUGUGAUUAUCAUUUGUGACAUUCAGAAAUGCAGUUUCAUUUGUGUAGGGGCACAGGGUCAAAACACAUUGAGCUAAAGAGCAAGUGAGGCUGAGAAAGGAAAUGGAGGAAGGAAGUAUAUACUGCACUUCAGAAUCUGAGAUUGAAAUGAAGGGAAGUGGAUUGUUUCCAAGACCCUUGAAGUAUAACCUCUCCAUCAUGCCUCACGACUUCUGGUGGUAUAUAUAGACCUGGAAAUCCUCUUUUAUUUACUGGGUCCAAACAUGCAUGGCUUAUAAAGAGAGAUAAGAAACAUGGUUAGAUUUUGUCUAGCAUUUCCUCGCGUCCAGGCCCUAGCCGAUUUGAAGGGUACCCUGGAACACCUUAACUUUUACCACUCAUUGCUUUUCUUUUUUGUCCUUCUUCACAUCUCCACACCCUCAAAGGACCAAGAUUUAUUAGUUUAUCUUGUAGUCAAGGCAACAAAUACUAUGAAUGUGAGGUUUCAUCCUGUCCUUAGUUUGGAACAGUGUAGAGCACCUUUUGAGUGCAACAUCUAAGAGACAAAUAUUGUUCUAUUAAUAUUUAUUACCCUAAAGGAGUGAAGAAAAUAGAACAGGAAAUGUAUAUUCUCCCAUGGGUAUAUUUAUAGCAACAUGAAAGCUUUCAGUGGAAACACAGUGAUGAAAGAUGGAAGCACCAUUAUUUAUCAAACUGAUCUGAAGCUUACCUACAUCAUAGCCACCUAGGGUGCUUAUCUGUGUACACAAAUUUUUCAGGCAAAAAAACAAAACAACAACAACAAAACAAAAAAAAAAAAGGAAUUUUAUCCUUGGAAAGAAAAAGGAAUAUAUUUGCCUCAGAGAU